rnacentral:rRNA from 1 species
CUACGGGAGGCAGCAGUGGGGAAUAUUGCACAAUGGGCGCAAGCCUGACGCAGCCAUGCCGCGUGUAUGAAGAAGGCCUUCGGGUUGUAAAGUACUUUCAGCGGGGAGGAAGGGAGUAAAGUUAAUACCUUUGCUCAUUGACGUUACCCGCAGAAGAAGCACCGGCUAACUCCGUGCCAGCAGCCGCGGUAAUACGGAGGGUGCAAGCGUUAAUCGGAAUUACUGGGCGUAAAGCGCACGCAGGCGGUUUGUUAAGUCAGAUGUGAAAUCCCCGGGCUCAACCUGGGAACUGCAUCUGAUACUGGCAAGCUUGAGUCUCGUAGAGGGGGGUAGAAUUCCAGGUGUAGCGGUGAAAUGCGUAGGGAUCUGGAGGAAUACCGGUGGCGAAGGCGGCCCCCUGGACGAAGACUGACGCUCAGGUGCGAAAGCGUGGGGAGCAAACAGGAUUAGAUACCCCAGUAGUC